CCAGCAGCCGUAGCGCGGUGGUCCCACCUGACCCCAUGCCGAACUCAGAAGUGAAACGCCGUAGCGCCGAUGGUAGUGUGGGGUCUCCCCAUGCGAGAGUAGGGAACUGCCAGGC
rnacentral:rRNA from 1 species